UUUGUUCAGUCAGCUCGCGUUA
rnacentral:miRNA from 1 species